GCUUACUUAGCUCAGGCGGUAGAGCACUUCCUUGGUAAGGAAGAGGUCAGCAGUUCAAGUCUGCUAGUAAGCA
rfam:Candidatus Delongbacteria bacterium GWF2_40_14 gwf2_scaffold_2954, whole genome shotgun sequence.